CCUACGUGGUGCUGCAGUGAGGAAUAUUGGUCAAUGGGCGCGAGCCUGAACCAGCCAAGUAGCGUGAAGGAUGACUGCCCUACGGGUUGUAAACUUCUUUUAUAAAGGAAUAAAGUGAGGCACGUGUGCCUUUUUGUAUGUACUUUAUGAAUAAGGAUCGGCUAACUCCGUGCCAGCAGCCGCGGUAAUACGGAGGAUCCGAGCGUUAUCCGGAUUUAUUGGGUUUAAAGGGAGCGUAGAUGGGUUGUUAAGUCAGUUGUGAAAGUUUGCGGCUCAACCGUAAAAUUGCAAUUGAGACUGGCAGUCUUGAGUACAGUUGAGGUAGGCGGAAUUCGUGGUGUAGCGGUGAAAUGCUUAGAGAUCACGAAGAACUCCGAUUGCGAAGGCAGCUUACUAAACUGCCACUGACAUUGAUGCUCGAAAGUGUGGGUAUCAAACAGGAUUAGAUACCCUGGUAGUC
rnacentral:rRNA from 1 species